UGACGGGAGCAGAGCGGCGAACGAGGGCGUCGGCCAUUUUGUGUCUGUUUCCUGUGGGCCGCGGUGGUGGCCGUUGGGUUGGAAGAGUGAAAGAUUUUUGCCUCCUUUUUCCUGCUUGUUUUUUCCCCCUUUUAUUUUGUCGGUAGAGCGCAGUUAUGGGUCGCAAGAAGAAGAAGCAGCUGAAGCCGUGGUGCUGGUAUUGUAAUAGAGAUUUUGACGAUGAGAAGAUUCUUAUACAACACCAAAAAGCAAAACAUUUUAAAUGCCACAUAUGUCAUAAGAAGUUGUACACAGGACCUGGCUUAGCUAUUCAUUGCAUGCAGGUGCAUAAAGAGACAAUAGAUGCUGUACCAAAUGCAAUACCUGGGAGAACAGAUAUAGAAUUGGAAAUAUAUGGUAUGGAAGGUAUUCCAGAAAAAGACAUGGAUGAAAGAAGACGACUUCUUGAACAGAAAACGCAAGCAGAAAGUCAAAAAAAGAAGCAACAAGAUGAUUCUGAUGAAUAUGAUGAUGAUGACUCUGCAGCUUCAACUUCAUUUCAGCCACAGCCUGUGCAGCCUCAACAAGGGUAUAUCCCCCCAAUGGCACAGCCAGGAUUGCCACCCGUUCCAGGAGCACCAGGGAUGCCUCCAGGCAUACCUCCAUUAAUGCCAGGUGUUCCUCCUCUGAUGCCAGGAAUGCCACCAGUUAUGCCAGGCAUGCCACCUGGAUUGCAUCAUCAGAGAAAAUACACCCAGUCAUUUUGCGGUGAAAACAUAAUGAUGCCAAUGGGUGGAAUGAUGCCACCUGGACCAGGAAUACCACCUCUGAUGCCUGGUAUGCCGCCAGGUAUGCCCCCUCCUGUUCCCCGUCCUGGAAUUCCUCCAAUGACUCAAGCACAGGCUGUUUCAGCGCCAGGCAUUCUUAAUAGACCACCUGCACCGACAGCAACAGUUCCUGCUCCACAGCCUCCGGUUACUAAGCCUCUUUUCCCCAGUGCUGGACAGAUGGGGACACCUGUAACAAGCUCAAGUACAGCUUCAUCCAAUUCAGAAAGUCUGUCUGCAUCUUCUAAAGCUCUGUUUCCUAGCACAGCACAAGCCCAGGCAGCUGUCCAAGGACCUGUUGGUACAGAUUUCAAGCCCUUAAAUAGUACCCCUGCAACAACUACAGAACCCCCAAAGCCUACAUUCCCUGCUUACACACAGUCUACAGCUUCAACCACUAGUACAACAAAUAGCACUGCAGCUAAACCAGCGGCUUCAAUAACCAGUAAGCCUGCUACACUUACGACAACCAGUGCAACCAGUAAGUUGAUCCACCCAGAUGAGGAUAUAUCACUGGAAGAGAGAAGGGCACAGUUACCUAAAUAUCAGCGUAAUCUUCCUCGACCAGGACAGGCUCCCAUUGGUAAUCCACCAGUUGGACCUAUUGGAGGUAUGAUGCCACCACAGCCAGGCAUCCCACAGCAACAAGGAAUGAGACCCCCAAUGCCGCCUCACGGUCAGUAUGGUGGUCAUCAUCAAGGCAUGCCAGGUUACCUUCCUGGUGCUAUGCCGCCGUAUGGGCAGGGACCGCCAAUGGUGCCCCCUUACCAAGGUGGGCCUCCUCGACCUCCGAUGGGAAUGAGACCUCCUGUAAUGUCGCAAGGUGGCCGUUACUGAUCUUACUUCAUCCAAUCUAAUAGGUUUUUAGAAGUGAAGUAUAGUAAAUUUGGUUCGUUAUAUUGUGAAGGCGCUGGAAUUACAUGAACAUACCACCUUAAUAAAGCCCUGCCAUAGGACAGGCUGAGGCUGAGUCUCAGUGUUGCCCUGUUCAGUCUGAGGCAAGUGGGAUUUAUUUUAUUCCUUAUAGGGGCUUUCACAGCUUUAUGGCUGUUGGAUAUUUAUGUCCCCAAACUUGCAGCAAGUUUGGUGAAGGCCCCUAAAUUUAAUUAAACUUAGGAUUUUUAUACUCUUUUGGCAGAGAAGGCUCUAUAUUAAUAUUCACGUUUGACUGUGGUGUUAAUAAACCUAAAAAGUAUUUGGUAUGUGUAAUUUUAUGUAAUUUGUGUUAAUAGCCUCAGUAAAGCUGGUAUUGCUAUAUCGAUCUUUAUUAGUAAAUUGACAAAAUUUGAUGUUCUUGAUUUGGAGGCAUGGAAUGUUUGGUUCAGAUUUUCCACUUUCACUUUCAGGAAAAAGAUACUGGUCAUUUUCUUCUCAAACUGUUAAAUUUAACUUCAUGGAUAAGUUUGAUCAUUGGAAAUGCCAUAGGAUACUGAAAUCUGCAUUCUUAAUCCCAAAGUUACGCAUUGAACAUUAAGGUUGAAGGGUCAUCUGGAAAUGCUUAUGAUUUUUAAUAUUUCCAAACUUCACCACAUUAGAGCAAAUGUUAAUGUAGAGCCCUUGUGAAGAGUGGGAAGGUGGUGUGUGUGUGGUAUGUAUGCAUAUACACUACACAUUUGAUAAAAUAAAAGGGUAAUAAAAGAGUUUGGGUAUUACAGACCUGUCAGUAUUGGAUAGGUUACUGUUUUUCAGGUAGCCAAACUGAAAUUGAAUUGUGGUAAACUUUGUACAUUGAACUGUGGUUUUGGAACAUUUUUGAGGUUCAUUUUCAGCGUUACUGAAAAAUAUUUUAUGCAGUAUGCACACAUGAAAAGUAUGCACAUUUUAUUCUAACUAAAAUUUGCUUUUAUUUGGUGAAAAACGUGUUUAUGUGUAUAUGUUGUGAGGAGUAAAGAAGGAAAUGGAAGAGAGGCCAAAACAUAAACUGGACUACUUUUGUUUCUUCCUGUGUUUAAGCCACACAUCUGUUCUAUACAGAUUGUAUAUUCUUUUGAACAGUAACAACAUAAUAGUAUAGUGUUUGGCUAACCCAGGAUUGUUUUCUAUGUGGUUUUAAUUCUUGGAAGCAUAAAGAAAAAAAUAUACGUUAAAUGAAUUCCAAAUUUUCACCUGUGCAUUUGGAACAUAUGAUUUUCUCUGUAACUGAAUCACGGAAAAAAGAUUUUAGUGAUUGAAAAAAAUUUUGUCACAACAAAAGAAUACGUUUAUAACCUGUUCGGUAAUUACAUCUCUUAAGUCUCCUUAAUUGGGGAUGUUUUCUGUUGUAUCCACCAUCCCCCGGUAUAGUGAAGUAUUCAAUAGUGAGGCUGUUUGUCCUAAUUCUAAUAGUGAUAGUUGAAAUAAUUAAAAUAGGCUCUUACAUACUUGACUAUUGGGGGUUGGAGGGAUUUUCUAAGGGUGGCAUAAUUUGUUGAAGUUAAUAUCUCUGAAGUAUGAUUUUGAGAAUUACAUAACUUCAGGUGUCUAUUACUUCCACUGGUAAUACUUGGUAAAUGAAAUGUUGAAAUAGCUACUUUACAGAGAUAAAAUUUUGUUUUGAGUAAACUGAUACUUGUAUUGGCUAGAGGAUAGAAAGUAUUUAAAAUAUAAAAAUUAUGUAUGAAUCAGGUACAUCUUUUUAAAGAGGCAGCAUUUAUCUGCCUAAUACUAAGUAACCUUUGUUAUUCCAAAACAAAGUCGCUUUUCUCUUACUGUAACUUUUAUGGAAAACUCUUCCAAAGGAGGGAUUCAGUUAUAAGACUAUUGAUUCUAAGGCAGUUUUGUAAGUAAACAUUCCCCCUAGUUACACUUCUGCUUGCUGUCUCAUGACUUGAAUAUUAGUGAAGGUUGCUCUUUUUUUUUUUUUAACCCUUUCUCAAUAUUUUGUUUUCUGUCAUCUGAAUCAUUUUAAUAAAUGACUUUUUGUUUUUAUAGCAUAGAAAUCCUCUUAACUUCUGUGUGAUAUUUCUUGGCAAAAUGAGAAGCAGUUACUUUAAUGAUGUAUGUAGUGUUAUGCACAUAGUGAUUAUUCAUAAUUUUGUGAUUAAUGUUGAAUUUUCAGAACAAUAUCUUUAAUAUCUUGCUGUUAGGCAUUCCCUGUUAUGGGAUCUAAAUCAAACUAACUCGUGGGAAAUGGGGGAUGUGGGACUUGAGUUUGAGCUCCCCGAUACUUGAAAUAUCUCGAACUUUUCCCCAGUGUCUUCAUAUUCUUACUUGGCAUUUUCAUUGAGAAAUGAUAGGCUUGAAAGUAGCAUUUAAAAAAAAAAGAUUAAUAAAGCUCAGAAUUGCUUUUUAUAAGCAUUGUUGUUUCUGCUCUGAGCUCUGUACAUCCUUGUAUAAUAAUUUGGCCAUAAAGGGGAGAGCUUUUCAUUUUCUCCCUGACUCUGGAAAAAUAAUAGCUUGAAACUAUAUUAAUUUGAAUUUUUAAACCAUGUCUCUCUAAAUCUGUUCAAUUAAGCUCAUGUAUUCUCAGGGGAAAUACCUUUAUUUUACUAAUAAGCAGGAUGUAGAAGUCAUAUUAAGGCAGAAAUUGAAGACUUUAUUAAAGGAGCUCUUCACUGAUGCUAAUUUGAACUACUAUUUGAAGCAAAUUGAAUCCUGUAUUAUAAGUCAAGACUGUUCAUGGUUAGGUUCUUUAGGAGGCAUAUAAUCAGCUAUAUUAGAAUAUGUUUGUGUAUAUGUUUUAAUCUUGAUCAAAUUACAGAGAAGAUACAUGUGAGUAAACUAUUUUAAUGAUUGAUAACUUGGUCCCAUCCAUUAAUUCUAAAUGCUGUGUAAGGUUGUGUUAUGGCACAGCUUCAGUAAUGUGCUGUGUGUUUGGUCAGGGGUUGUGUAAUGCUGUAUAGAGGGGAAGGCCUUUUUUUGGAAUCUCCUGGCCCUUAGGCAUUCUUACUGUGUCGGUUUUUGUAAGGGGGGGGGUUGUUUUUUUGUUGCUUUUUUUAACCAUCAUUGUUGAUAAAGAAUCUGUAUGCCUUCACCUUUGGUUAAAUUUGAGGAGCUGGCAGUGAAAUUAUUGAUGCCCAACUUGAAUAAAAAUUAAGAAAGAUAUUUCCCCAGUUUACUACACACAGAACAGUUUUAUUUGAGAGGUGGUUAUAUAAUGUUGUUAGGCUUAAGAACCUAAAUUAUAGUGAAAGGUAACAGCAUUCCUGCUUCUGGUUUGCAUUUGUGAUUAAGGUUUCACCAAAUCAUUUAUUAUAAUGUAGCUUCCUCUUUACAUUUUGUUCAUAAAUACUUGAGCAAUCAAAUGAAAAUAAAAUUUGCAGCAUCGUUUCCUUUCUCUACUAAUGAAACAAGGCUGCUUAACCAUCCAAGUGAGCCAAGGGAAGUUAUCGAAGUUUCUGUAGGUUUGAGUUAGAACAGUAUGGGGCAUGUAUUUAUUGAGCAAAGCCUCCCUUUUAGUUACUAGUUUAUUAGUGUAUUUCCAGGAGAAACAUUUAUUUUUCAAUCCAUGUUUUAAAUCUCUAAUAAAAUGAAAUCGAAUGUUUUGAAAAUUGAAUUUUAAACUAUUAAAAGUUGCUUUCCUCUGAGGAGUAUGUCUGCACACACUUAAAUUUAGAAAUUACCAUGUUGAGAUCCUCCCCCCAUACAUGCCCCCCCUUUUUUAGAGGAACCAAAAUUUCCACAUAAUAUACGUUCUGGAAUACAUAGUUUAUUUAAAGUGAAGUGUGUCCAAGAGGUAGUGUUUUUGAGUCAUUCUCAUAAGGUCACUUUAAGUUUAAGAGCCAAUGUAAGAUAAUUUUUGUAAGCCUUAGGGAAAACGUUUAAAAUGUGUUAAUGUCAGGUUCUGAGGAAAUUUAAUGCACAUUGACUUUUUAAACUAUGGAUUGAACUCCUCAGUUUAAUACAAUUUGUGUUUUUGUUAACUAGCAGCAGAAUUUCAGCAUUUGCUACUUACUGGUAGAGAAGAAAAAUCCCACAGCCCUGCCAGUACAGGUUAGUUUAAUCUGUAAGUACCUGAUGUUCCUAUUUUUUUCAAACAUACCAUAUAACCCACACAAGGAAGAAAGCUGUGCAGUUACUUAAAUGUGAGUAUAACUAAUAAUAGAUCCAUUGGACACUUUUUUAAACACUCAGUACUUGGGCCAAAGUAGCUAGGUUUGCUAACCUCAGUUGUGAGAAAGGUGUAAUACUGCUCCUUUAUUAUCUGGUCCUGGUUGACCAUAAGUAGAUAUGUUGUACAUAAAAGGAAAAGACAGUUAAAAGUUGCAAUUGGCUAUAUGCACUUGUUGGUUAUCUGGUAACAGUGCAGGGCUUUGGGUCCAGGCUCUUUUACUUAAGCCUCUCCCAUGGUGGGACUCAUAUUUUACCCUUUAACUUCUUACAGUAUGAAUCAUCCCAAGAAAGUCAAGUUUCCUCACCUCUAGCAGUGAUACAUGGUGUGCAGUCAUAAGCUAGAAAAUGUUUUCAUACUGCUUUUUUGUUUAAUGUUUUUGGUAACUCUUGCUGUAAAUAAGUACUAGUUUUAUUCAUCUUUUUUGUAAACUAUAACCUAUUUUGUUGGUGCACCACCACUGUGGGCUCAUUUUACCUGAAUUAAGAAUAACAAAACUGACUUUUUAAUAUUCAAAUGAAAACUGACGUGCAUCAAGAAACCUAGACAGAUCCUUGUGUAUUCCUUUUGAGGGGCAGUGAGGGUAUAAUGGCUUGUAAAAGAUCUGUGAAGGUUUUUAUUACUGUCUGGUUCUACCAGAAUUCAUUGUUGUCUUCAACCAUCUUUGAGACCUUUCCUUUAACCUUUGAAUAUUAUGCUCUUAUGUUGAUAAACAUUUUAAAUACCAAGGAGAAGAAGAAAGCUUACAGUUUGGUUUGUACAAGCCUGAACCAUCCUUCCAUUCUGUAGCAUUGACUAGGAUGCAUGGCUACCUCCUCUAUACCCUAAAUGUGGUGAUGUCUAAUUUGAGACAGUCCAUAAAACUAGCUGAUCUUAUAUUCUGUUACAUGGGGAUGGUGACUAGCCACUGAAAACAGACCAUCUUAAUGUUAUUUUAUAUGAAAGUCAUGCACUUAAUUAAAAAUCUCGAUAAAUCAGCUGAUAAUAAAAUAUAUUUUAUAAGCUAUCCACUUGUUUUUAAUAUAAAAUCACCUAAGGGCUUAAGUUUCAUUGCCUUUCACAGUUUAAUCUAUAUAAGAAAUGACGUAGAUACAGUGGAAAUGGUUUUCCUUAAAACCAUCUCUAUAAAGCUGCCUUUCUGGUGAGUAUUAUUUUAUACUUCUAUGUCACAAUUUUUCCUUUAAGUUUAACUGAAAUGGGUUACUGAUCAAAGAAGUGAGCAAUUUGAAUUUUUACACUCUUUAGAUACUUGAAUUGGAAGUGUAUUUUAAAAGUUGAUUAUUUCACCUCCUGACAUUUCCCUAAUAAUCCAGGAUCACUGUUCUGACUUCUACUUAGACUGUAACUGAAAAACCUUUAACACGCAAUUUUUUUCUUUUGGUAAGAUGGAAGAAAAUGUUUUUACUCAAAACUAGUGCUUUUAAAAAAAUGUUUUUAGCUUAAGAUUUUGUUUUUAGCUGACAACCAAAAGUUUUGUCUUAAUGCUUUUGGUCCCUGCACUGCACAGGUGUAAAAUUUAAAUAUCAGAAUUUGUCUCUUCUCCAUGAAGCUGCUGUUGCAGUGAUUCGUGAGCAAUUAAAGCUGAGGGUAGGCUUGAAGAAGGACUUGCCUGAAAUGCUCCUGCAGACUAGUGCUUAUAGGAUUCUCUAUGAAUGAGGCUUGAAAAUUUCAAGUGUAUCUUUAAAUCUUUUAACCUUGCAUGGAACACUUGGGUUAGAAAUACUGGUUUCUGGGACUGUGUAUACCAGUGGAAAUUAGCCUCUGGGUAUAUUUCUAAUUACUUUAUGCCUUGUUUAGUACUUUCCUUCAGAGUGACACAUGGGGUUUUUUUUUCUCUCUCUAGUCUUUAGCCACAUCCUAGCUGAUGUCAGUGUAAGCUAAGGAUGUUUUCACAUUGUAUGUCUUGCUGUAAGGUUUGUAAGCCGACAGUGAACAGGAAGCUGCUCCUAAUGCUUUUCAGUAUGGGAAUGAUAGUCUUCUAAAAUCUGAACAUUGAUAUUUUGAGUAUGUGAUAAUGGUGAUGUAUUCUUCUAGAUAAGCACUAAACAAAGUAUGGACCCUCAAUUUAUGUCUUUAAGAUUUAAAAUGAAGUAAAUUUCUAAGGAACUCUGUCCUUUCCUAGCAAGGAUAAGCAGACAUUGAAAGUGUGGUAAGUAUGUAACUCUAAAUGCAUGUAAUAGUGGUGAGAGUAAGUAGCCAAAUUGCCAUAGUUUAAAAUAACGUUUAGACAUGAACAAGAAUUCUUGAAUCUCCUUUGGGACUUAAUGUAUGUGUGUCUAGCAUUUUUACAAAUUUGUGUGCACAAUGAUUAAAUUGAAAUGUACCUUAACUCCUUUGUCUGGUUUGUUUUCUUUUAAUUUUGUAUGGUGCUUUAAACACUAAUUGUAUUUCAAGCUUUUUUCAGGGUAGAAAUAAGUGGCUGAUAAAGAAAAUACCUUCAAGAAGAAUUAUUUAAAACCCAAUGAUAACUUUUCAGCUUUUUUAAAGCCUUCUGUUUUUCAGCUCCAGUUAAAACACAGUAGACAGCUGAUCAGAAAUGGGAGGCUGGGGGAAACCAACCUUGUGCUCUUUCUGGAAUAUUGUAGGAAUCAUUGUCUAAUAGUAAAAUGUUGUGAAGCUGGUUUUUGAUUUUCACAGAAGCAGUGCUUUUUAAAUUAAGAGAAAAGGUGAUGAAAUUUGGAAUCUCCACUGUUCUUCCUGGGAUGUUGUAUUUAAUAAUAAGAGUAAAUGGAACUUCAAGUGAAGACAUUUAAUUGCUACACCAGGGAAGGUGAUUUAUUUCUGAGUAGUAUGUCCAUUUCCUUCCUAACUAGGACAGCAUUAUUUUGUGAAGCAGUUCAAGAUCCCAAAGGGUUGUAGGAAAGAGGGGGCCCUUCUCAGUUCAGUUUACAGGCUUCAUGCUAUCAUUGUACUGGCAGGGAGGGGAAUGGAAAAGCAAGUUACAUCUGAAUGAACAGGCAAGGGAGAAUAAAGGACUAGUCCCUUUGUAUGGUUAAAUGAUCUAGCUAAACAAAAAAAUUUGGCUAAGCGUAAAUUCUCUUGCGGGGCACCUGGGUGGCUCAGUUGGUUAAGUGUUGUCUGACUCUUGAUUUCUGUUCAGGUCAUGAUCUCAGGGUUGUGAGAACAAGCCCCGCAUCUGGCUCCACACUAGGCAUGGAGCCUGCUUAAGAUUUACACUCUCUCCCUCCCCCCCGCAUUAAAUAAAAUUUUCUUGCACAAUAAUGUAUCAUGGGAAGCUAAUGCAAAAGAAAAAUGAAGUGGAUGACCACAAUUACGCCGUUUACCAGUGUUGAAUUUUAGUCGGUUCUUGGGGUUUGGGGGAAGAGCUGUUCCUUAGUGUAUAGCCGUACACUGAGACUAAAACUCCCAAAGGCACUAAGUUUUUUUUGUUUCUCUUUGAGGUAGUCUGGGAGUGUUUGCUAGACUUCAAGAAAGCUAAAACUACCAUUUGAGAAAUGGUGUUUUAUUUUCAUAGCUGAAGCAGUUUUCAUCUAAAAGUUGAAGGAUUUUUGCUUCUGCAUUAUUAAAAGUAAGCCUCUUUGUUCCCUGUUUAUGGUUAACCAUUAAUAUUUGAGCGCCUGUUAUAUACAAAGAUGAAUAAAAUCAUUUAUUAUUUA